AUUGAACGCUGGCGGCAGGCUUAACACAUGCAAGUCGAGCGAGCGGCGGACGGGUGAGUAAUGUCUGGGAAACUGACUGAUGGAGGGGGCUAACUACUGGAAACGGUAGCUAAUACCGCAUACCACCAGAUGUGCCGUGAUGGGAUUAGCUAGCGGGUGAGGUAAUGGCUCACCAAGGCGACGAUCCCUAGCUGGUCUGAGAGGAUGACGUGCCAAACUGGAACUGAAAAAGGGACAAGACUCCUAGGGGAGGCAGCAGGAGGGAAUAUUGUCCAAGGGGGGCAAGCCUGAACCAGCCAUGCCGCGUGUGUGAAGAAGGCCUUCGGGUUGUAAAGCACUGUCAGCGAGGAUGCGUUACGCGCAGAAGAAGCACCGGCUAACUCCGUGCCAGCCGCCGCGGUAAUUC
rnacentral:rRNA from 1 species